AUUGAACGCUGGCGGCAUGCCUUACACAUGCAAGUCGAACGGUAACAGGUCUUCGGAUGCUGACGAGUGGCGAACGGGUGAGUAAUACAUCGGAACGUGCCCAGACGUUGGGGAUAACGAGGCGAAAGCUUUGCUAAUACCUCAUACGAUCUAAGGAUGAAAGCAGGGGACCGCAAGACCUUGCGCGUUUGGAGCGGCCGAUGGCAGAUUAGGUAGUUGGUGGGAUAAAAGCUUACCAAGCCGACGAUCUGUAGCUGGUCUGAGAGGACGACCAGCCACACUGGGACUGAGACACGGCCCAGACUCCUACGGGAGGCAGCAGUGGGGAAUUUUGGACAAUGGGCGAAAGCCUGAUCCAGCAAUGCCGCGUGCAGGAUGAAGACCUUCGGGUUGUAAAAUGCUUUUGUACGGAACGAAAAGGCUCUGGCUAAUACCUGGGGCACAUGACGGUACCGUAAGAAUAAGCACCGGCUAACUACGUG
rnacentral:rRNA from 1 species